rnacentral:rRNA from 1 species
UGCCAGCAGCCGCGGUGACACGUAGGCUCCAAGCGUUGUCCGGAUUUAUUGGGCGUAAAGAGCUCGUAGGCGGUUGAGUAAGUCGGGUGUGAAAACUCUGGGCUUAACCCGGAGACGCCAUCCGAUACUGCUCUGACUAGAGUUCAGGAGGGGAGUGGGGAAUUCCUAGUGUAGCGGUGAAAUGCGCAGAUAUUAGGAGGAACACCGGUGGCGAAGGCGCCACUCUGGACUGAAACUGACGCUGAGGAGCGAAAGCAUGGGUAGCAAACAGGAUUAGAUACCCUGGUAGUCCAUGCCGUAAACGGUGGGCACUAGGUGUGGGUUCCAACUAACGGGAUCCGCGCCGUCGCUAACGCAUUAAGUGCCCCGCCUGGGGAGUACGGUCGCAAGACUAAAACUCAAAGAAAUUGACGG